GUCACCCCUAACCCUGCCCAUACCCCCUGGCUAGUCCAGGAUCAACAGAUCGUUGCGUAUCUCCUGCGCAAUCUGUCCAAGGAAGUCCUCAUCCAAGUCGCCUCGCUUGAAUCCUCUCAUGCCAUCUGGACUGCCUUGGCCACCAUGUUCUCCGCCUUCUCGUUGUCCCGCGCCAACAACCUUCGCUCUGCACUCACCAACGCCUAG
rnacentral:rRNA from 1 species